rnacentral:rRNA from 1 species
UACGUAGGGUGCGAGCGUUACUCGGAAUUACUGGGCGUAAAGCGUGCGUAGGUGGUGAGUUAAGUCUGUCGUGAAAGCCCCGGGCUCAACCUGGGAAUGGCGAUGGAUACUGGCUCGCUAGAGUGCGGUAGAGGAGAGUGGAAUUCCCGGUGUAGCAGUGAAAUGCGUAGAGAUCGGGAGGAACAUCAGUUGCGAAGGCGACUAUCUGGGCUGAAACUGACGCUGAGGCGCGAAGGCUAGGGGAGCAAACAGG